rnacentral:rRNA from 1 species
AACGCUAGCUACAGGCUUAACACAUGCAAGUCGCGGGGCAGCAUGAAUUUAGCUUGCUAAAUUUGAUGGCGACCGGCGCACGGGUGAGUAACGCGUAUCCAACCUUCCCCUGUCCACGGGAUAGCCCGUCGAAAGGCGGAUUAAUACCGUAUAAGGUCACAUGACGGCAUCAGAGUGUGACGAAAGGUUUAGCGGACAGGGAUGGGGAUGCGUCCGAUUAGCUUGUUGGCGGGGUAACGGCCCACCAAGGCAACGAUCGGUAGGGGUUCUGAGAGGAAGGUCCCCCACAUUGGAACUGAGACACGGUCCAAACUCCUGCGGGAGGCAGCAGUGAGGAAUAUUGGUCAAUGGGCGAGAGCCUGAACCAGCCAAGUAGCGUGCAGGAUGACGGCCCUAUGGGUUGUAAACUGCUUUUAUGCGGGGAUAACGUGCACCACGUGUGGUGUAUUGCAGGUACCGCAUGAAUAAGGACCGGCUAAUUCCGUGCCAGCAGCCGCGGUAAUACGGAAGGUCCGGGCGUUAUCCGGAUUUAUUGGGUUUAAAGGGAGCGUAGGCCGCUGUUUAAGCGUGUUGUGAAAAACCGGGGCUCAACUCCGGUCGUGCAGCGCGAACUGGACGGCUUGAGUGCGCGGUAAGUGGGCGGAAUUUGUGGUGUAGCGGUGAAAUGCUUAGAUAUCACGAAGAACUCCGAUUG